rnacentral:rRNA from 1 species
GACGAACCGUGCGAACGUUGUUCGGAAUCACUGGGUUUAAAGGGCGCGUAGGCGGGCUGUCAAGUCGGUGGUGAAAUCUUUCAGCUUAACUGGAAAAUGGCCUUCGAUACUGGCGGUCUGGAGGAAGGUAGGGGCAUGCGGAACUUCCGGUGGAGCGGUGAAAUGCGUAGAGAUCGGAAAGAACACCAACGGCGAAAGCACUCUGCUGGGCCGACACUGACACUGAGAGACGAAAGCUAGGGGAGCGAAUGGG